rnacentral:rRNA from 1 species
GCCCACAGCUCAACUGAGGAAUUGCACUCAAAACUACCGUGCUCGAGGGAGACAGAGGUAAGCGGAACUCANGGUGGAGCGGUGAAAUACGUUGAUAUCUUGAGGAACACCGGUGGNGAAGGNGGCUUACUGGGUCUCUUCUGACGCUGAGGCACGAAAGCUAAGGUAGCAAACGGGAUUAGAUACCCCGGUAGUCUUANCUGUAAACGAUGAGCACUUGUUUGAAGGGNCCUCCAUAGCCUUUCANACNUAGCGAAAGUGUUAAGUGCUCCGCCUGGGGAGUAUGGUCGCAAGGNUGAAACUCANAGAAAUUGACNGGGGCUCACACAANCGGUNGAGGAUGUGGCUUAAUUCGAGGCUACG